UUCGUUUUGACUCAGCUUCCUUAUCUUUCCAAAUAUCUUUCCAAAUCUUAUUAUCUCUGUUUCUCCACUUCAAUUUGAUCACAGGUCCAUCUCUGUUGCUCUAAACCCUAACCAUCAUCGUUUCAAACUUCUGGUUUUAUUUUGUUAUUUGCAGUUCCAUCUCUCUUUCACUCUAACAUAACGAUCGAUGUCAAUUAUUAGGGUUGAUAUCAUCUCGCUCCUAGAUUACAACAAGGAACGAUAUGCUUACAAAUUCCGUCCAUGUCUCUUUAUGUGUUUGGAAUGGAAGAUCUAGGAGGCAUGGUUCUCUAAUGCUUCAAUUCCAUCUCCAUUUAAAACAAUUUAACUAGGAAUUAUAUGUUCUUAUUUUAUUUUCUUGAAAUCUAUAUGAUUUUUUUUCAGGUCGAUAUCGUGACAACCCUCAACGGAACAACUGCCUCUCCUCAUCUUUGUAUUUUCUCAUAGACAUCGCCACUAUCACUCACUGGUAAUACUAAGACCUUGUAUUUGUAUGAAUAUUGGUCACGAUUGGUGGAUCUGUAUAUGGAACAAAGAAAAGAGGUCUAAAAUCUGGUCUUACCAGGUGGAUUAAAAAAUCAAAAAAUAGGAACUUCUCGUAAAUAUUUUGUAACGAACACCAUUACUAUAGUUGUUUUUUCCUUAACAAUUUUUGAUUCAUUGUAUUUGCUUCUUUAGUCAAAAUAUGACUCAUGAAUUUCAAACAACAUGUUGCAGUGGGUGGGUAUCUUUGAAUGCUCUCUUUUCUUUAUUCACUUAUGUUUAACUUACUUGCUAGAAUAUAUGUAACGAUGUAAGAAGUCUUACACAUCACAAUAACUAUUGCAGCCGCUUUAUUUCUCUAUCUAUACCAUUUCAGGUUCGUAUUCUUGACCUUGAUUUACUCAUAAUCUGAGGUAAAACCACUUCCAACGGCUCAUGUUUUCAAUUUUUUUCAUGUUUUCUUUGAUUGAAGAUUGGAAAUGAACGAAAACCCAUAUUGAUGCUCUUGUUUCUUAGAAAGGAAUGGACCAACGACCGGAGAUAAAGGGUGAAAAAAUACCUAGAUUUUUAUGCAUUUGACUUUUUCUCAUGUUUUAUUAUUAUUCAGAUUUCAUCAUUCAGAAAGUUACAUGUCACUAUGUUUGGUUUGUUUCUGAUGGAUUGUUCUAUGUUUGUCACCAGGUAUUGUUAAGAUAAAAUGAAGCUUGACUUUUUGGGUUUUUUCUAGAAUUAUGUACAUUUAGUUCACAUGCCUUUUGUGUAUGUUUUCUUUAUGAUAUGGGAAUCAGUAUUAGAAAUUGUCAUUAAGACUUUUGUGUAUGAUUUCUUUAUGAUAUGGGAAUCAAAACAAAAAACCAUCAGUGAAUCUUUAAGGCAUUUGAUUUUUUGGGCUAACAUGUAAUUUACUCUCAUUUUUGCAAAAUAAAUAGCCAAGGUUUUUUACUCUGAAUUGGAGCAAACGCCUUUUUUUUAAUUGGAUGAGAUAAAAUGGGAGAGAAACCUUGCACAAACACACAGACCUUUUCCCAAUUCUAAAUAAUGGCAACCAACUUUAGCCAACUAUUAAAAUUAUGUUAUUUAAGUAUCAUCCAUGAGUUAUUAAUCAGUUUAUGAUGGUAUCAAGGUCCGUUUAUGAAUUUAUUUUUCCUAACAUUUUUUAUAAAAAAUAAUUAGGUUAUUCACAAAUAUAAUGAGUUUGUUUAUUAUUUAUUUUUGUUCAUUUCUCCAAUUGCCACAUCAUUUUCUGAAGUACUUUAUUUACAAAAAUAAUGGAACCCUGAUGUUUUUAUGAUGAUUAACAAUAGGAUGGAAAGAUCUCACAACUUAAGCAUGUGUUUAUUCGAGGCAAAAAAGUUUGGUGUGUGUGAUUAUCCUCGUAAAUAACUAUUAGUAUUCAUUUCACUUUCAUUUUAAGAGUAACAGUAACAAUAAAUGUGAACAAUUCUUGCAGGUUUAUGAUCAUACCAAACAUGCUUAAAAACACUCUUAUUUUCAAGCGAUUUGGAAGUAAUAGUUAAAAUUACUUUCUGAAUGCUCUUAGAUAGUUUUUUUUUUUAGAUUCUGAAUUCUUUUAUAUAUUGUUAGCACUAUUGAUACAAAAUGAAAAAUUUCUGGGUUGAAGGGUAAACGUUCAGCACUUGGUGUGGUCAAGGUCGUGUUGUUGCCAUGAGAGCUCGGGUAAGCAUCAGUUUAUCUCUGGGAUUAUUUAUUUAUUUAUUUUAAUUGGUGUAUGCGUGUCAACAACAGUGAUCAGAGAGCUUGAAGAAAAUGUAUUUUUUUAAGUAUUUUUUGCAUUCUUGACUUCGAAAGCAAGGAAAAAAAAUAUGUAAGGUUUUAUGAAAUUUAGAUUUCCUGUGUACAUUUGUUAUUAAAAAAUGUUAGGAAAGAAGAGAAAGGGUAUUUUUGUCAUUAAAAAGGUUGAUAAAAUAUUGUGGUUUGUAUCCGCAAGAAAGUUAGAUGGUGGAUCAAGCCAAAUGUAAUUCCAAGUUUUUUUUAUCAAUUAUAUUCCUUAAAAACUUACUAUUCCAAUGUUAUUGUGUGACAUAGACAUAAUGUAUGAUAAAUAUCAAAAAGUUUUCUGGCUUCACCAAAAUCUUAGCACGAUGAUUAGCUUUUCAGGUUUGUUUGCUCUUCUUUUUUAAUAUUAGUUGUAAAAUUACAUAUAUUGUAUUGUUCUUUUACGACAUUGUAGCGUUUUUUGUAGAAUGUAUUGUAUUUUGUGACCGACCUUUUCAUUUUGCAGCUUAUUACCACAAAUGGAUUUUUGUACGUGAUUUAGAGCAUAUAUUUUUUUAAUAAUGUUUACUAAUUUACAAUUUUUUUCUAAUACAUUAAGCAUGCUUAUUUUUAUGGGUGUUGGUUUUUUAAUGGAAGUUUAAGGGUCAAGAAUAUGGGCAGUUGGUUUGGGUUUUGUUGAAUGUUGUAAUUGUUUUUAAUCUAAGACCAGGUGAAGAAGAACUUGCCAAGCAUGGAUAUGAUAUUUUAAUUAUAUUCCUCUAGAGAAUCCAUUUGAAAUGUUUGCUUUGGUAAUUUUACUGUUUUGUAA
rnacentral:lncRNA from 1 species